CCCAAGGAUGGGGCCGCGACCGAUCAGGUUGUUGGUGAGGUAACGGCCUACCAAGCCUUUUACCGGUACGGGCCGUGAGAGCGGGAGCCCGGAGAUGGGCACUGAGACAAGGGCCCAGGUCCUACGGGGCGCAGCAGUCGCGCAAACUUUGCAAUACACGAAAGUGUGACAGGGCUAUCCCGAGUGCCGUCCGCUGAGGGUGGCUUUUACCCAGUCUAGAAAGCUGGGAGAAUAAGGAGAGGGCAAGUCUGGUGUCAGCCGCCGCGGUAAUACCAGCUCUCCGAGUGGUGUGGAUGUUUAUUGGGCCUAAAGCAUCCGUAGCUUGCUGAUCAAGUCCCCUGUUAAACCCAACGAAUCAAUCGUUGGAUUGCGGGGGAUACUGCUCGGCUAGGGGACGGGAGAGGCCGACGGUAUUUUCGGGGUAGGGGUGAAAUCCUAUAAUCCCGAGAGGACCACCAGUGGCGAAGGCUGUCGGCUAGAACGCGCCCAACGGUGAGGGAUGAAAGCUGGGGGAGCGAACCGGAUUAGAUACCCGGGUAGUCCCAGCUGUAAACGAU
rnacentral:rRNA from 1 species